UACGGAGGGUGCAAGCGUUGUUCGGAAUUAUUGGGCGUAAAGGGUAGGUAGGUGGUCUCAUUUGUCUGGGGUGAAAGCCUUGAGCUUAACUCGAGAAGUGCCCCAGAAACGGUGAGACUGGAGUCCUGGAGAGGGUCGUGGAAUUCCUGGUGUAGCGGUGAAAUGCGCAGAUAUCAGGAGGAACACCGGUGGCGAAGGCGGGUCUCUGGGCAACAACUGACGCUGAGGAGCGAAAGCGUGGGGAGCGAACAGG
rnacentral:rRNA from 1 species